rnacentral:rRNA from 1 species
GACGAACGCUGGCGGCGUGCUUAACACAUGCAAGUCGAGCGGUAAGGCCCUUUCGGGGGUACACGAGCGGCGAACGGGUGAGUAACACGUGGGUGACCUGCCCUCAGCUCUGGGAUAAGCCUGGGAAACCGGGUCUAAUACUGGAUAUGACUCCAUGACGCAUGUUGUGGGGUGGAAAGCCUUGUGCGGCUGAGGAUGGGCCCGCGGCCUAUCAGCUUGUUGGUGGGGNGAUGGCCUACCAAGGCGACGACGGGUAGCCGGCCUGAGAGGGCGACCGGCCACACUGGGACUGAGACACGGCCCAGACUCCUACGGGAGGCAGCAGGUGGGGAAUCUUGCGCAAUGGGCGAAAGCCUGACGCAGCGACGCCGCGUGAGGGAUGACGG